CAGUAGCCACGGUAAAACGAAGGGGGCUAGCGUUGUUCGGAUUUACUGGGCGUAAAGGGCGCGUAGGCGGACUGAUAAGUCAGGGGUGAAAUCCCAAGGCUCAACCUUGGAACUGCCUUUGAUACUGUUUGUCUUGAGUUCGAGAGAGGUAAGUGGAACUGCGAGUGUAGAGGUGAAAUUCGUUGAUAUUCACAAGAACACCAGUGGCGAAGGCGGCUUACUGGCUCGAAACUGACGCUGAGGCGCGAAAGCGUGGGGAGCAAACAGGAUUAGAUACCCCUGUAGUCCCUGUCUCUUAUAC
rnacentral:rRNA from 1 species